GCCGGGAUAGCUCAGCUGGUAGAGCAGAGGACUGAAAAUCCUCGUGUCA
rnacentral:tRNA from 1 species